GCCUGGGUGGCUCAGUUGGUUAAGCAUCCAACUUUGGCUCAGGUCAUGAUCUCGCGGUUUGUGGGUUCGAGCCCCACUUCGGGCU
rnacentral:tRNA from 1 species